AGCUUUUUAAAUCCGUGCAGAGAUUUCGUCAGACACAACCCAUUAGGACUGAUCAGACUUCCAAGAUAAGUAAAGUU
rfam:Schistosoma mansoni, Puerto Rico, WGS project CABG01000000 data, contig: 0186